rnacentral:lncRNA from 1 species
AGCAUAAGGCUUAGGUUUCUAAUGUUUGAAAACAAGUGUUAAUGUUUGCACAAAAGUUUUGGCUUGGGUUAGAGUGGAAGGGAAGAAGAAGAAUGGCUAAAGUCCUAAUCAUACAAGAGAUAAGGGAUAAGAAACAAGACCACAAAUGGAGUUCCUCUCUUGAGAUCAUAUUGAUGAUCCAAGUAGCUCCCAUCCUUUGUAAUAUGCAAGCAAAAUAAUAGUAAGCUCAAGAAAUCAACACAAUCAAACAAGCUUCUUAGAAGAUCCCCAAUGUAUCUUGUAUCUUUCAUUUUGGAUGAACAUGGCAAUGGUUCUUCAAUUUGAGUUCUCAUAGGAUACCCUAGCACAAAAGCACACACACAUCAAAGAGUCUUAUGAAGUAAAUCAAUAAUGGACAAGAGAGAGUUUAGAGGUUUGGUCCUUCUAGUCCGUCUUCAACAUUUAAAGUCCUUUUACUCCAAUUUGCAUAGGGAAAGUCCUAGAAACUAAGUCCAUUUGUCCAUUUCUUUACAUUUGGUCCACAACAAACAAAACAAAACACAAGCAAUAUAAUAUAUACACAAUUAUGUGCUCAAGUGAGCAAAAGGCAAAUUGCAUAAACAUAAACAUGUGCUCAAGUGAGCAAAAGGGGAAAAGCAAAUGAAUAAUAUAUACAAGAAUAUUAAAUUGCAUAAAAGUAAAGUGCAAGAAGUAAAUGUUAAUGGUUAAUGGUUAGUGUUAGUAGUUAGUGUGCCAUAAGGCAAAUUUAGCUCUAUGUUAAGCAAUCGUAAUUGGACUUAUGUAGAAAUCACAACUAUCUGAGGCCGGUCAAUAAUAAUGUAGGCAACAACACAAGUUAGAGGUCUUGAUUAGUGAAUCAAACUCCAACAACUUGCCAUGCUAAAAAGAAGAAGAGAAAUGAUCUUGUAUUGAUUUAGGUACUUUGCAUGAUUUAGAAAGCAAUUUAUCCUUAAUGCAAAGCCAUUCACUUGAUUCAUGAUCAAGAUGAAUUAAAUUUUAAUCAAGGAAGAUUAAACCUCCCUAACCAAUGCUAACCAUCAACCUUUAACUCAUUGAUCAAAAAAAGAAAGAAGAAGAAGAAGAAGAAGAAUAGAAAUGAAGAAUUAUAGUGCAUUAAAUGAAAUGGAAUGUACCAAUCAAUAAAUAUUGACCAAAGAUAUGAAAGAUCAAGAUCAAACAAAAGAAAACAGAAGCAAGAUGAAGAUUGGAGGUCAAGAAAUAAACAAAAUAUUUUUGGCAUUUUUAAUAUUUAAAAUAAAACUUGAAUUAAAAUAUUAAAGAAGGGUCAAACUUCAAACUCACUUCAAAUCAACUUUGAAAAGUCCAAAUGAAUUAUCCCAAGUUCAACAAGGUCAAACAAAGUUUUACAAAAAAAUUCAGUAUUUUUAAAAUUUAG